UACGUAGGGACCGAGCGUUGUCCGGAAUCAUUGGGCGUAAAGAGCGUGUAGGCGGCCUGUUAAGUCUUGCGUGAAAUCUCGGGGCUCAACCCCGAGCGGUCGUGAGAAACUGGCAGGCUAGAGUGCGGGGGAGGAGAGUGGAAUUCCUGGUGUAGCGGUGAAAUGCGCAGAUAUCAGGAAGAACACCAAUGGCGAAGGCAGCUCUCUGGGACGGUACUGACGCUGAGACGCGAAAGCGUGGGGAGCGAACAGG
rnacentral:rRNA from 1 species